UGAGCCGACCGGGCGGCCGCGAUCCCCGAACUUCUCUCGUCGUGGGAGGAAGCGGAGGUCGAGGAAAGUCCGGACUCCACAGAGCACGGUGGUUGCUAACGGCAACCCGGGGUGACCCGCGGGCUAGUGCCACAGAAAGGAAACCGCUGGUCUCCUGCAGGCCAGUAAGGGUGAAAGGGUGCGGUAAGAGCGCACCGGCAGGUCGGGUGACCGGCUUGGCCAGGUAAACCCCACCGGGAGCAAGGCAUGAAGUUGCACUGUGAGGUGCGGCGGAACGGAUGUUUGAGGGCUGCUCGCCUGAGUCCGGAGGUAGCUGCUUGAGGCGCCAGUGGGCGUCCUAGAUGGAUGGUCGCCACCCCGCCCGAGGGCGGGGGACAGAAUCCGGCUUAUAGGUCGGCUCAUUCG
rnacentral:RNase_P_RNA from 1 species